AGAAUCAACGCUGGCGGCGUGCCUAACACAUGCAAGUCGAACGCGAAAGCCCCGCAAGGGGUCAGUAGAGUGGCAAACGGGUGAGUAACACGUGGGUGACCUGCCUCAGAGUGGGGGAUAACGACCCGAAAGGGUCGCUAAUACCGCAUAACAUCCUGCCUUUGGAUAGGUGGAGAUCAAAGUUGGGGAUCCGCAAGGACCUGACGCUUGGAGAGGGGCCCGCGGCCGAUUAGCUAGUUGGUGAGGUAACGGCUCACCAAGGCAACGAUCGGU
rnacentral:rRNA from 1 species